UACGUAGGGUGCAAGCGUUAAUCGGAAUUACUGGGCGUAAAGCGUGCGCAGGCGGUGAUGUAAGACAGAUGUGAAAUCCCCGGGCUCAACCUGGGAACUGCAUUUGUGACUGCAUCGCUGGAGUGCGGCAGAGGGGAUGGAAUUCCGCGUGUAGCAGUGAAAUGCGUAGAUAUGCGGAGGAACACCGAUGGCGAAGGCAAUCCCCUGGGCCUGCACUGACGCUCAUGCACGAAGCGUGGGAGCAA
rnacentral:rRNA from 1 species